UAUGGGACGAGAAGACCCUAUAGAAUUUUAUAGUUAAUUUUUAGUUAAUUUAAUUUAUGUAAUUAUUAAUUAUUUUGUUGGGAGGACAUUUAAAUUUAUUUAACUUUAAAAAAUUUAACCAAUUAUUUUUGAUUUAAAGUAAGAUAGUUUAUUUAAAAUUAUUAGAUAAAAUUACCUUAGGGAUAACAGCGUAAUAUCUUUGGAGAGAUCAUAUUUAUAAAGAUGAUUGCGACCUCGAUGUUGAAUUAAGAUAUAAUUUAAAUGCAGGAGUUUAAAUUUUAAGUCUGUUCGACUUUUAAAAUCUUACAUGAUUUGAGUUCAGAUCGGCGUGAGCCAGAUCGGUUUCUAUCUAUA
rnacentral:rRNA from 1 species